AGACGCAGAGAACUGAAACAUCUAAGUACCUGCAGGAAGAGAAAGAAAAUUCGAUUCCCUGAGUAGCGGCGAGCGAAACGGGAAAAGCCCAAACCAACAAGCUUGCUUGUUGGGGUUGUAGGACUCCAAUAUGGUAGUUCUUUCAGAUAGUCGAAUGACUUGGAAAAGUCAGUCAAAGAGGGUAAAAACCCCGUAGACGAAAUGUGGAAGACACCUAGGAGGAU
rnacentral:rRNA from 1 species